AUGACCUCAGUCACUUAUCUCCUGUGGUUGCUACUGCUCUGGUUCACAGGUGUCAAAUGUGAAACCCAGAUGACCCAGUCUCCAGGUUCCUUGUCUGAAUCUCUGGGAGACACUGUCACCAUCACAUGCCACGCCAGCGAAAACAUUUACAGUAGUUUAGCAUGGUAUCAGCAGAAACCAGGGAAAUCUCCCAGGGUCCUGAUCUAUGAUGCAAGCAGGUUGGCAGAUGAAGUUCCAUCAAGGUUCAGUGGCAGUGGAUCUAGAACAGAUUAUUCUCUCAAGAUAGAUGGCCUGCAUCCAGAAGAUGUUGCAACUUAUUACUGUCUACAAGGUAGAAAUACCCCUCCCACAGUGUUAUAA